rnacentral:rRNA from 1 species
GGCGAACGCUGGCGGCGUGCUUAACACAUGCAAGUCGAACGAGAAUCUGUGGAAAGAGGAUUCGUCCAAUUGAAGCAGAGGACAGUGGCGGACGGGUGAGUAACGCGUGAGGAACCUGCCUUUCAGAGGGGGACAUCAGUUGGAAACGACUGCUAAUACCGCAUGACACAUAGGUGUCGCAUGGCACUUAUGUCAAAGAUUUAUCGCUGAAAGAUGGCCUCGCGUCUGAUUAGCUAGUUGGUAAGGUAACGGCCCACCAAGGCGACGAUCAGUAGCCGGACUGAGAGGUUGAACAGCCACAUUGGGACUGAGAUACGGCCCAGACUCCUACGGGAGGCAGCAGUGGGGAAUAUUGGGCAAUGGGCGCAAGCCUGACCCAGCAACGCCGCGUGAAGGAAGAAGGCUUUCGGGUUGUAAACUUCUUUUGUCAGGGACGAGUAGAAGACGGUACCUGACGAAUAAGCCACGGCUAACUACGUGCCAGCCGCCGCAGUAA